GUGUUGUGCGAAGGGAGAGAAGAUGAGCACUCCCCUCUGAGUGUGGAAGAGGCUCCUGGGCCUAAGGACUCGCAUAACGUGAAGGUGUUGCCACUUACUUCGUGGUCUUUAACCACUGUUUUUU